AGCAGCCGCGGUAAUUCCAGCUCCAAUAGCGUAUAUUAAAGUUGUUGCAGUUAAAAAGCUCGUAGUUGAAUUUCGGGAUCAAUAUAUCGGUCGUGCCUUGGUACGUACUGGUAUCAUUGGUUUCUCCUUUCUGACGAACCAUGAUGUCAUUAAUUUGGUGUUAUGGGAAGUUAGGACUGUUACUUUGAAAAAAUUAGAGUGUUUAAAGCAGGCUUUGGCUUGAAUACAUUAGCAUGGAAUAAUGAAAUAGGACGUUCGAACCUAUUUUGUUGGUUUCUAGGAUCAACGUAAUGAUUAAUAGGGAUAGUUGGGGGCAUUAGUAUUCAAUUGUCAGAGGUGAAAUUCUUGGAUUUAUUGAAGACUAACUACUGCGAAAGCAUUUGCCAAGGAUGUUUUCAUUAAUCAAGAACGAAAGUUAGGGGAUCGAAGACGAUCAGAUACCGUCGUAGUCUUAACCAUAAACUAUGCCGACUAGGGAUCGGAUGAUGUUAAUUUUUUAAUGACUCA
rnacentral:rRNA from 1 species